rnacentral:rRNA from 1 species
UACGGAAGGCAGCAGUGGGGAAUAUUGCACAAUGGGCGAAAGCCUGAUGCAGCUAUGCCGCGUGUAUGAAGAAGGCCUUAGGGUUGUAAAGUACUUUCAUCGGGGAGGAAAAACAAAACUAAUAAUUUUAUUUCUUGACGUUACCCGAAAAAGAAGCACCGGCUAACUCCGUGCCAGCAGCCGCGGUAAUACGGAGGGUGCUAGCGUUAAUCAGAAUUACUGGGCGUAAAGAGCACGUAGGUGGUUUUUUUAAGUCAGAUGUGAAAUCCCUGGGCUUAACCUAGGAACUGCAUUUUGAAACUGAAAUACUAGAGUAUCGUAGAGGGAGGUAGAAUUCUAGGUGUAGCGGUGAAAUGCGUAGAUAUCUGGAGGAAAUACCUGUGGCGAAAGCGGCCUCCUAAACGAAUACUGACACUGAAGGUGCGAAAAGCGUGGGGAGCAAAACAGGGAUUAGAUACC